rnacentral:rRNA from 1 species
GCAUCGAUGAAGAACGCAGCAAAGUGCGAUAAUUAUUGCGACUUGCAUUCAUAGUGAAUCAUCGAGUUCUUGAACGCAUCUUGCGCCUAGUAGUCAAUCUACUAGGCACAGUUGUUUCAGUAUCUGCAUCCACCAAUCAACUUAACCUUUUGUGUUGAGUUGGAACUGGGCUUCUAGUUGAUGGCAUUUAGUUGCUGUCAUGGCCUUAAAUCAAUGUCCUAGGUGUUAGAACAUCUAACACCGGAUGGAAACUUUAGAGCGCUUUAAGAGCAGCUUGGUUAGUGAGUUCAAUAAUUCCAAGCAUUAAGUCUUUUAAUGAACUAGCUUUUCUAUCUAUGGGACACUACUUGGAGAAAUCCAAGUAACCUUUAAACUCACAUUUAGAUCUGAAAUCAACUGAGACCACCCGCUGAACUUAAGCAUAUCAAUAAGCGGAGGA